rnacentral:rRNA from 1 species
UACGGAGGGAGCUAGCGUUGUUCGGAAUUACUGGGCGUAAAGCGCACGUAGGCGGCUUUGUAAGUUAGAGGUGAAAGCCCGGGGCUCAACUCCGGAACUGCCUUUAAGACUGCAUCGCUUGAAUCCGGGAGAGGUGAGUGGAAUUCCGAGUGUAGAGGUGAAAUUCGUAGAUAUUCGGAAGAACACCAGUGGCGAAGGCGGCUCACUGGCCCGGUACCGACGCUCAGGCGCGACAGCGUGGGGAGCAAACAGG